UUAGCCCCAGAAAAUCAGGCUAAACAAGCUCUCACUAUAACCGUGCUUAGCGCGCCAAGCGUUUUGGGACUUAGAAUAUUUUUCUUCCUUUCUCUCGCUUCAAGCAUGCUACAAAUGAAACUUUCUGGAAUUGUGAAACUUAUCUCGAUUGAAGCAUGCUAGAAGCGAGACUUUAUGGAUUUUUCUUCUUUUCUCGCUUCAAGCAUGCUACAAGCGCC
rnacentral:lncRNA from 1 species